rnacentral:rRNA from 1 species
CCUACGGGUGGCAGCAGUGAGGAAUAUUGGUCAAUGGACGAGAGUCUGAACCAGCCAAGUAGCGUGAAGGAUGACUGCCCUAUGGGUUGUAAACUUCUUUUAUAAAGGAAUAAAACGAGGCACGUGUGCCUUUUUGCAUGUACUUUAUGAAUAAGGAUCGGCUAACUCCGUGCCAGCAGCCGCGGUAAUACGGAGGAGCCGAGCGUUAUCCGGAUUUAUUUGGUUUAACGGGAGCGUAGAUGGGUUGUUAAGUCAGUUGUGAAAGUUUGGGGCUCAACCGUAAAAUUGCAAUUGAUACUGGCAGGCUUGAGUACAGUUGAGGUAGGCAGAAUUCGUGGUGUAGCGGUGAAAUGCUUAGAUAUCACGAAGAACCCCGAUUGCGAAGGCAGCUUACUAAACUGUGAUUGACAUUGAGGCUCGAAAGUGUGGGUAUCAAACAGGAUUAGAUACCCGUGUAGUC